UACGAAGGGGGCUAGCGUUGUUCGGAAUCACUGGGCGUAAAGCGCACGUAGGCGGAUUUUUAAGUCAGGGGUGAAGUCCCGAGGCUCAACCUCGGAACUGCCUUUGAUACUGGGGAUCUGGAGUCCGGGAGAGGUGAGCGGAACUGCGAGUGUAGAGGUGAAAUUCGUAGAUAUUCGCAAGAACACCAGUGGCGAAGGCGGCUCACUGGCCCGGAACUGACGCUGAGGUGCGAAAGCGUGGGGAGCAAACAGG
rnacentral:rRNA from 1 species